CGAUCCCUCAAGAACUGUUGUCGUCCUCCUGGACUGCUCGAUGCUGUAUCUCCUCUUCUGGUAUCUCUCUGGGUAGGUGCCUGUGUGACUUACUCCAUUUCUCCUGAACAGAUCUUAAAACAUUCAGAAGCGUUUUGGUUUCCUUUGGAGCAGCCCUUCAGGCCAAGAUUUGUCAUGGGGGAAGUUUCCUGUUGUCCUAUCGUUCAAUCAGGUCAUGUUCAGGAAUGAAAUGCCAACACCUGCACAUUUUUAAUUCUUUUUACCCCUUGGGGUGAAAAUACUUGGGAGUGGGGAAACUGAGGAACACAGUCAAAUUGAAAAUAUGGCACAGCAUGCUCUCAUCCAUCAUGGAAGAACAUUGCCUGCUAUGAAAAUAAAAUAGCUUAUCUUUCUGCCUACUUUUCUGUCUCACAGGAUUUAUUUUCUCAGCAAUGCAAGUAAAAUCAGAGAAAUCCAUGAGACUGUUUACGGCUUUCAGCUCAAAAUGGAAGGGCAGCAGACAGGCGCAACAGGAGCGACGACCAGCUAUACUCACUGUCGAGGCAAACGGCACCUAUAGGGCUCUCAGCUCGGCGGCGUGUCGUUUCUGUGGGUCCAGCCGUGCUCCGAAGCUCUGCCAUCCCUUUCUGCCUGCAUUCUAUGGCAUUAUAUCCAGAACGGUGCACAGCAGAGGAAUACCUCCAGCGUAUGACGAGGGAAUGACCACCACCACGCAAGGAUGCAUAAGGUGA
rnacentral:lncRNA from 1 species